UCAAGAAACUUCCACAAUGGGCGAAAGCCUGAUGGAGCGACGUCGCGUGAUGGACGAAGUGCUUCGGCACGUAAACAUCUUUUAUGUGGGAUGAAAUUAUUGACAGUACCACAUGAAUAAGGGGCUCCUAACUCUGUGCCAGCAGGAGCGGUAAUACAGAGGCCCCAAGCGUUAUCCGGAAUCACUGGGCGUAAAGGGUGUCGAGGCGGUUGUAUUAGUCGUUCGUAAAAUCUACGAGCUUAACUUGUAGGCGGCGAACGAAACGGUACGACUUGAGGUUUGGAGAGGUGCGUGGAACUCACGGUGUAGGGGUGAAAUCCGUUGAUAUCGUGGGGAACACCAAAGGCGAAGGCAGCGCACUGGCCAAAAUCUGACGCUCACACACGAAAGCUAGGGUAGCGAAGAGGAUUAGAUACCCUAGUAGUCCU
rnacentral:rRNA from 1 species